CCUACGUGCUGCAGCAGUGGGGAAUAUUGGACAAUGGGCGAAAGCCUGAUCCAGCCAUGCCGCGUGUGUGAAGAAGGCCUUCGGGUUGUAAAGCACUUUCAGUGGGGAAGAAAGCCUUGGGGCUAAUACCCUCGAGGAAGGACAUCACCCACAGAAGAAGCACCGGCUAACUCCGUGCCAGCAGCCGCGGUAAUACGGAGGGUGCGAGCGUUAAUCGGAAUUACUGGGCGUAAAGCGCGCGUAGGCGGUCUGAUAAGCCGGUUGUGAAAGCCCCGGGCUCAACCUGGGAACGGCAUCCGGAACUGUCAGGCUAGAGUGCAGGAGAGGAAGGUAGAAUUCCCGGUGUAGCGGUGAAAUGCGUAGAGAUCGGGAGGAAUACCAGUGGCGAAGGCGGCCUUCUGGACUGACACUGACGCUGAGGUGCGAAAGCGUGGGUAGCAAACAGGAUUAGAUACCCUAGUAGUC
rnacentral:rRNA from 1 species